GAUGAACGCUAGCGGCAGGCCUAACACAUGCAAGUCGAGGGGACUUUCUCUUCGGUUGGUGCGACCGGCGCACGGGUGCGUAACGCGUAUACAAGCUGCUUUUUACAGUGGGAUAGCCGAGAGACAUCUGGAUUAAUACCCCAUUGUCUAUAGAUUCGGCAUAGCGCUUAUAUCAAAAGUACAACGGUAAAUUAUUGGCAUGGGUCGCUUUAGCUAGUUGGGAUGGUAACGGCGUAACAAUGCAACGAUGGGUAGGCGACCGGAGAGGGAGAUCCCCCACACUGGAACUGAGACACGGUCCAGACUCCUACGGGAGGCAGCAGUAGGGAAUCUUCCGCAAUGGGCGAAAGCCUGACGGAGCAACGCCGCGUGAGUGAUGAAGGUCUUCGGAUCGUAAAACUAUGUUAUUAGGGAAGAACAAAUGUGUAAGUAACUAUGCACGUCUUGACGGUACCUAAUCAGAAAGCCACGGCUAACUACGUG
rnacentral:rRNA from 1 species